UGUGCACAGCCAGGCUUGUUGUUAGGUUUGUGGUGCAUGCGCACAAGCGACCUACCGCAGCGCCCCCUAGUAUCUUCGAAUAUCACAAUAUGAAUAUGUUA